rnacentral:tRNA from 1 species
ACCCUGGUGGUCUAGUGGUUAAGAUUCAGCACUCUCACUGUUGUGGUCUGGGUUCGUUUCCUGGUCAGAGAA